rnacentral:misc_RNA from 1 species
UUUACUGUAAUAACCAACUUUAAUAAACGUUUAAAGACUUUGCUUUAAGAAUCAAUAAAGAAGUUAACUGAAUGCAUGUACUAAUUUCUAUAUAUACAUAUUCGUAUUUCGUUUAAACUAAAAUACUUCUGUUUCGUUUGAGAAGAGGCCUUGACAUAGUCAGUAACUUUAACGGACUGUCUUCUGAUUGGUUAACUAAAGCAUAUAAAUGUUUCCUAAAAGCUGUAUUACACAUACUAACACAUUGCUGUCAUAUUAUUACGAAGCAAAUAAACUUUACAUAACGUAUAAAGAAUGUCA